CAGAGGUCCCAAGCGUUGUUCGGAUUCACUGGGCGUAAAGGGUGCGUAGGUGGUAAGGCAAGUUAGGUGUGAAAUCUCCGGGCUCAACCCGGAAAUGGCAUUCGAAACUACCUUGCUAGAGGGUUUGAGGGGGGACUGGAAUACUUGGUGUAGCAGUGAAAUGCGUAGAUAUCAAGUGGAACACCAGUGGCGAAGGCGAGUCCCUGGAAAAUUCCUGACACUGAGGCACGAAAGCUAGGGGAGCAAACAGGAUUAGAUACCCUGGUAGUCCUAGCCCUAAACGGUGCUUGCUUGCUGUAAGAGGAAUCGACCCCUCUUGUGGCGGAGCUAACGCGUUAAGCAAGCCGCCUGGGAAGUACGGUCGCAAGAUUA
rnacentral:rRNA from 1 species